rnacentral:rRNA from 1 species
GACGAACGUUGGCGGCGUGCUUAACACAUGCAAGUCGAACGGAAAGGCCCUGCUUUUGUGGGGUGCUCGAGUGGCGAACGGGUGAGUAACAAGUGAGUAACCUGCCCUUGACUUUGGGAUAACUUCAGGAAACUGGGGCUAAUACCGGAUAGGAGCUCCUGCUGCAUGGUGGGGGUUGGAAAGUUUCGGCGGUUGGGGAUGGACUCGCGGCUUAUCAGCUUGUUGGUGGGGUAGUGGCUUACCAAGGCUUUGACGGGUAGCCGGCCUGAGAGGGUGACCGGCCACAUUGGGACUGAGAUACGGCCCAGACUCCUACGGGAGGCAGCAGUGGGGAUUAUUGCACAAUGGGCGGAAGCCUGAUGCAGCAACGCCGCGUGCGGGAUGACGGCCUUCGGGUUGUAAACCGCUUUCGCCUGUGACGAAGCGUGAGUGACGGUAAUGUGUAAAGAAGCAGCGGCUAACUACGUG